AGUGAACGCUGGCGGUAGGCCUAACACAUGCAAGUCGAACGGCAGCACAGUAAGAGCUUGCUCUUACGGGUGGCGAGUGGCGGACGGGUGAGGAAUACAUCGGAAUCUACUUUUUCGUGGGGGAUAACGUAGGGAAACUUACGCUAAUACCGCAUACGACCUACGGGUGAAAGCAGGGGAUCUUCGGACCUUGCGCGAUUGAAUGAGCCGAUGUCGGAUUAGCUAGUUGGCGGGGUAAAGGCCCACCAAGGCGACGAUCCGUAGCUGGUCUGAGAGGAUGAUCAGCCACACUGGAACUGAGACACGGUCCAGACUCCUACGGGAGGCAGCAGUGGGGAAUAUUGGACAAUGGGCGGAAGCCUGAUCCAGCCAUACCGCGUGGGUGAAGAAGGCCUUCGGGUUGUAAAGCCCUUUUGUUGGGAAAGAAAAGCAGCAGGUUAAUACCCCGCUGUUCUGACGGUACCCAAGGAAUAAGCACCGGCUAACUUCGUG
rnacentral:rRNA from 1 species